UACAGAGGUCUCAAGCGUUGUUCGGAUUAAUUGGGCGUAAAGGGUGCGUAGGCGGCGCGGUAAGUCGGGUGUGAAAUCUUGGAGCUUAACUCCGAAACUGCAUUCGAUACUGCCGUGCUUGAGGACUGGAGAGGAGACUGGAAUUUACGGUGUAGCGGUGAAAUGCGUAGAUAUCGUAAGGAAGACCAGUGGCGAAGGCGGGUCUCUGGACAGUUCCUGACGCUGAGGCACGAAGGCCAGGGGAGCAAACGGG
rnacentral:rRNA from 1 species